UGCCCUCCGUCUCUUCGGUCCCAGCCUGCCACGAUGAGAUGCGCCGACAGCUCGUCCCUGUAGAGAUACGAGUAGUUCUUCACCAUGGUGGCGGCGGCGCCGACCCGGGGAUCCUCCCCGAUCUCUGCACUGCCCAGAACAAAGGCGUAUCUGGUGCCGUAGCAGCUCAGCAAUGGCCUGUGCGUCCGCCGCCGAGCCCGACAAAGCACAGUAGAUCUUUUGGUGGAGAGGGUACAGCUUGUUCAUCACCGGGUUCACCACUGCAUCCCUUGGGAGGUGCCUGAUCUGGUGACAACAGGAGGUGGUGUGACCCCAGGAUACAGAGACAGGAGGCGACGUGCUGUGCCUUAUCUGGUGAGAGGAGGCCCUAAGGAACGGCAGGAGGCGGCGUGACCCCAGGAUGCAGAGACAGGAGACGACAUGCUGUGCCUGAUCUGGUGAGAGGAGGCCCUAAAGAACGGCAGGAGGCGGCGUGACCCCAGGAUGCAGAGACAGGAGGCGACGUGCUGGAACUGAAUCUGACACUGACAAAUAAAACCCUCGGGAUUAGUGAUCUGAAGGAACAAAAUUAAGAACACUACACAGGGAGAAACACUAAGUACAGGAAAAAAACAACACAAAAACGGUCACCCAGAUCAUGACAGAUAGAUUAGUUCUCAGUUUAUUUUGAGUAUCCCCACCCCAUUACAAAAGUAAUUCACACUUUUUCAUGUGAAAUGAUUCAUUUAUUUUUUUUAUCAAAUUAUAAUCUAAUUUAAAGCUUUUUUUUUACUAAAACGAAUUCCUAGGAAAUACUUGGUUUAAUUUUACUGCUAGUUAGUCGGCCGAGCAAUAACACCGUGCGCCACACCAAGAAGUGUGUAAAUGUGACCUUAUAUUCUUAUCAAAGAUGAAGCGGGAAGGGGCUAAAAAAUAAGUAAACAGUAAAAAAAAAAAGAUGUGUCAUUCAUUAAUUGACAUUUUACAUGUGCUUUUUCACACAAAACGUGCCCUCUCCCAUCACAGUGCCUGAUCUAAGGAACGGCGUGACCCCAGGAUGCAGAGACAGGAGGCGACGUGCUGUGCCUGAUCUGGUGAGAGGAGGCCCUAAGGAAUGUCAGGAGGCGGCGUGACCCCAGGAUGCAGAGACAGGAGGCGAUGUGCUGGCAGAUGGCCGUCCCACCCUGAGGUUCCCUCCAGUAUUUUGGAUCCUCUGCUGUGAUUUUGCUCAUCCAGUCCUGUUUGGCUUCAGUUUUCCUGCUGUUGCUGUCAUAGUGAGAAAUCUGAACUCCAUCAACAUAACCAACACUCACAAACUUUGGAAAGUUUGGAAUUUGAGAGGAUGCAGUGUGGAAAUAAUUCAGUGUGUGAAUCACUGAAAGAAGAACAAAACAAGAAACAUUUUUAUUAUUUUGUUUUAUGUUCAACCAUCUUGCACUGUGAAUAUUUUAGGUCAUUCAGUCUUCAGUCGGGUCUUGAAACACUGCUAGAUAUCACAGUCACACUCACAUGGUGUUCUAUGACAAAUACAACACAUUAAUAACAUGAAUCAUCUUUUUUACUGGCCAUAUGUUGACAAUUUGUACAUUUUGAAAAUAAAUUGAUUUUUUUCCACUAUGUAGGUUGAAAAAUUUCUCGUACAACAAAGUUUAACACAACCUGUUCUGACCAUUUGAUGUCAACUCUUACUGACAUCCUGUGGCGAGAUGAUGUUCCAUCCAUCU